CUUGGGUUGUCUCUAGUAAUUGAAUUUUAACCCGUGAGAAACUAUGACACUUUCUUGAAAGUAGAACGGCCGAGGUAGCAAAAUUGAGGAUUAAAGAGAAACAAUCUGAAGUUUAUGAGAAAUAAUCGAAGCUGAAUAACCGAAGAUUUCUGAGCUCUGUUUCCCCCUUUCCUCGAAUUAGCUUCCCUGAUUGAUUUUCCCCUCAUCAUCAGGCCUCAAGCAAAUUGGAAACAAAACGAAAAGAGCUUCACAAAAUUAUAUCAAUCCAAUCUAUUUUUAUGUUUAGAAAUGAAAAUUUAUUUAUUUCAAAUGAAGUACGUAACUGUUAUUGCCAAGCAUUUGCUUCUAUAAUUCGAGUUGCUUUUGGUUCCUAUGACUCCAUCAAUCACCAGCUGCUAGCACUAGCUUUGGUACUGGAGCAAGCACCAAAUUUCUGGACUUUGUCUCAAAUCUUUUGGCACAAAAGUGCAUUUCUAAGGGUAGAAGGUUGGCAAUCUAGUGGAUCUGACUCAAAAACGGAAGCUCUAUUACUAGAAGUCCGAGACUUGUCAACAUAUGUCGUGUUGUCAUAUGAAUAUGCCCAAUGCAAGUUCUGGUGAAAAAAAUUAAACCUGAAAGUAGUCAAAAUCUUGUGCGGAUUGGUUUGUAAUGCACAUCCAAGUAAAUUGGAUAAACAAUACGAAAAAUGAAUCUGAAAAGGUUUCAAUUGGACUUUUCUACUCUGAUGAAUAGUGCGUUUUGUACUAGCUCUGCUGCUGCAGUUUUCAUAACUGAGAUAUGCCUUUCGUCUGUUUGUCACUUGCAGUAGCAGUACCAAUUUAUUCUUGCACCUCUUGGAUAUUUCCUUUCUACUGAAUUCUGAUUAAUUCUCCAAAGACUAUUA